UGUGGGGCCACGCCCUCAGGCU
rnacentral:miRNA from 1 species